UGAUCAGAUUAUGCGACGGUAUGGGAC
rnacentral:piRNA from 2 species